rnacentral:rRNA from 1 species
CCUACGGGAGGCAGCAGUGAGGCAUAUUGGUCAAUGGUCGGGAGACUGAACCAGCCAAGCCGCGUGAGGGAUGAAGGUACAGAGUAUCGUAAACCUCUUUUGUCAGGGAACAAAGGCGGGGACGUGUCCCCGGAUGAGUGUACCUGAAGAAAAAGCAUCGGCUAACUCCGUGCCAGCAGCCGCGGUAAUACGGAGGAUGCGAGCUUUAUCCGGAUUUAUUGGGUUUAAGGGGUGCGCAGGCGGUCUGUUAAGUCAGCGGGAAAAGCCCGGGGUCCAACCCCGGCCCGCCGUUGAAACUGGCAGUCUCGAGUUGGAGAGAAGUAUGCGGAAUGCGCGGUGUAGCGGUGAAAUGCAUAGAUAUCGCGCAGAACUCCGAUUGCGAAGGCAGCAUGCCGGCUCCACACUGACGCUGAGGCACGAAAGCGUGGGUAUCGAACAGGAUUAGAUACCCUAGUAGUC